CUCGUGCUCACUCUUGAUUUCUGUUCUUAUUUGGUUAGGGCUGUGGGCCACGCUUGGACCAGCACAUUCUUACACCCUCUGUCGCACCCGGAGCUGACCUGGACCGCGUCUGUGCCGUCUUCUCCAUGGCCACUGACUGUGCCACUGGCCUCCCCGAAUGACAGCCCAUUGUGCCUCCUCUGACCCCAAGUGCCACCGCGUCAUCUGAUCACGAUCACAACGGCUCCAGUAUGUGCAGGACAAUUUUCAGGAAGGGGGAUGGCGAGGAGGUCAGAAACCCCGGCUGCAUAUUUCCCUAAACCAAACCAUCUGUUUAUUAGCUCUAUAAGCAGUAAUAAAGACAGCAAGGACCCAAGAGCCUUUGGGUCCUGGCGGCCCGAGGAAGAAGUUAAGUGACGUAGUGGGGACCUGGGGGGGAUGUGUCUGCAGGGUCCCUUUCUCCUGCCUGACAUCGCCUGUUCAAAGCAGCGUCUCCUUGGGGAGGAGCGGGGCCGCCUUUCCACUGCUCCCCUGCCUGCAGCUGUAUGGUGGCUUUGGAGUCACCUGCCUGCUGCAAGCUGCUGGAUGAGGAGGGGCUGGGAAAUGAGCUGGCUGGUGAUGGUGCUUACGGGGUGCCAAGAGAGCGCUCCUGGGGAAUGUACUGAGCUGUGAGAACGGGCGAACCUGGGAAAACAGUCAGACAACAAUACCGAGUGCCUAGGUGACAGGAAAAAAAAGAGGAAUCUGUUUGGGAACAGAUUUCAGCCUCGAUGUCCAAGGCAUUAGUAAUUCAAGCAGCAGGGUGGGUAAUAUUUGGGAAACUAUGAAAAGUCAUAUAACAAUGUUCUUUUCACAGCUUUCAUCAUCGGCUUGCCUGGGUCCCAGUGCAGUCAGCCCCCUAAUCAUAAACAGAGGAGCAUGCUGCCAACUGGCAGCGAGGUGUCAGCACGCUGCCUCAGCUGGGCCCCGGGCCUGUUCGAGGGCCAGGCGUCCUCCACCACCAGGCCCCGUGUCAGAGGCCGGGCCCCGGGAAGCUCAGAAUGCUGAGUCCCACCCAGAAACUGGGGACAGUGGAGCUGACAAGUACAGUGGUCAACCAGCAGGCGGGAGAAAAGAUGAAAUAGUAGAUCAACAAAGCCCUGCUUUAAAAGUUAAAAAAUUCAACUCAAUUAUUUUAUUUUUUGCUUCUUUUCUGGUGGGGAAAGAGGGUUGGGGGGAGAGAGGUAGGGUGGUUUGUCUGGGACCAAGGGGGUUUCUGGGCUAUAGUAGGACUUUAUGUUCUAAAACCAGAGAAGUCCCAAGCAAACCAGGAGUUGGUCACCCUGGUGGGAGAGGAAGUUUGCAUAGGAAAAAUCACAUGAUUCACUGUCUGCAUUCACCGUUUGCCUAACUCACUGUUGAGACCAAGAGAGUCAGGUAACCUCCCAGGGCUUCCCUAUAAAAGGGAUAGGUUGGAGCAUUGCGGGGAGGUGUAAAUUCACCUGUCUGUGAGCUGGGCAGGUAACCUGAACGGCAUAGGUAUGAGGGCACAGAUGCCCUGGGGGCUGGGGGUGGGGACUGGGUCCAAGGAGCCCUGGAGAAGAGGCUUCUGUCCUCAUCCAGCAUAUCACCACCAAGUGAGAUGUGGGCUCUGGGCUGCCAGACGUCUGAUUUUUAAAAGAAUUUUCUGUGAAAGCUCCCAGAUUUUGAAAUGUUGGCUCACAUGCUAAGGACAUCCUGUGUAGGCCACACAAACACAUCUGAUUGCCAACUGGCCUCUGGGCAACCACUCUGCAACCUCUUGACUACACAAUUUCUAAGUUGCCUGUCAGUUCUAAAGUUCAAUAAUUUUACAAACUCCAGCCAGCCAUCCCCUCAGUUCAGUGGAAAUUAAUCACAUGGGUUACUUUGAGGAAGGAUAAACAAAUAUGUAUAUUUCGGCAGUUGAUUUCAGCCACUUAAUUCUAAAAAAGUGGUUUCUGCAGUAUCCCAGGCUGGUAUAUCUAUCUAUCUAGUAGCUGUAGACUCAAUACUGUUAAGAUGUCUGCUACAACCUGGAGGAACCUUGAAAACAUCAUGUCGAGUGAAAGAAGCCAGACGCAGAAGGUCAUAUGUUGUAUAAUUCCAUUUACAUGAACUGUCCAGAAUAGGCAAAUUUAUAAACAUAAAGUAGAUGAGUGGUUGCCUAGGGACUGGGGCAAGGAGGAUGGGAGUAACUGCUAAUGGGCUUGGGGUUUCUUUUUGGGGUGAUGAAAAUGUUCUGGAACUUAAUAGUGAUAAUGGCUAUACAGCCUUGUGAAUAUGCAGUUGAUCCUUGAAUAACAUGGGUUUGAACUGAACAGGUCCACUUAUGCAUGGAUUUUUCCCAGUAAAUACAGUACAGUACUGUAAAUGUAUUUUCUCUUCUUUAUGAUUUUCUUAACAUUCUUUUUUCUAUAGCUUAUUUUAUUGUAAGAAUACAAUAUAUAAUACAUAUACAAAAUACAUAUUAAUCUACUGUUUGUUAUCCAUAGGCUUCCAGUGAACAUAGGUUAUUAGUAGGUAAGUUUUGGGAGAGUCAAAAAUUAUAUGAGUCAAAGGUUUUGACUGCAUGGAGGGUCACAACCCCUAACCUCUGUGUUGUCCAAGGGUCAACUGUACUAGACACCACUGAACAGUAUACUCUUAAAUGGUGAAUUUUAUGGUAUUUGAAUUAUAUCUCCAUUUAAACAUAUAUUGUUAAAGUGUCGAUUCUCCUCAAAUUGGCCUAUAGAUUUUAUGUAAUCCCAGUCAAAAUUCAAGCAGGCUUUUGGGUAGAAAUUGAUAAACUGAUUAUAAAAUUCAAAGGGAAGUUCAAUAGACAUAGAAUUUCCAAAACAAUUUUGAAAAAGAAGAGAAAAGAAGGAGGUCUCAUACCAUUUGAUUUCAAGACUUAUAAAGCUCCAGUAAUCAAUCUAGUGUGGUAUGGGUAUAAAGAGAGCUAAAUAGAUAAAUGGAACAGAAGAGAGGAUCCAGAAAUAGACUCACAGAAAUACGGACAACAGAUUUUCAACAAAGGUUCAAAAGUCAUUCAGUGGAAAAAGAAUUCUUCCCUGCAAAAACUGUUCUGGGAGAACUGAAUAUCCAUGUGCAGAAAAAACCCUAAAAAACAAAACCAGAGCCUUGAUGUAUACCUUGCAUCAUAUAAAAAUAUCAACCCAAAACAGACUUAAAUGUAAAACUUAAAAAGUAUAGAACUUCUAGAAGAAAAUACAGGAGAAAACCUUGUAACCUGGGGGUAGGCAAAGAUUUCUUA